UGAUAGAGGCGCACCUGUAAAAAGUAAUUACUCUGCAGCAGGAAAAGCAGAGCAGUAAAAGGGACAGGGGCCGAGGAAUCAGAAGAACCCUGUAUAUUCUGAUAUCCGGGCUGUUGGAUAAAAUCCAUCAGACUGUCGCACUAAAAAAAGUGCGGAGAGCUGUC
rnacentral:ncRNA from 1 species